UACGGGGGGGGCAAGCGUUGUCCGGAUUUACUGGGCGUAAAGCGCGUGUAGGCGGUUCGAUUAGUCUGCUGUGAAAGCUCCCCGCUUAACGAGGAGAGGUCGGUGGAUACUGUCGGGACUUGAGGACGGUAGAGGGGGGGUGGAAUUCCCGGUGUAGUGGUGAAAUGCGUAGAUAUCGGGAGGAACACCAGUGGCGAAGGCGGCCCCCUGGGCCGCUCCUGACGCUGAGACGCGAAGGCCAGGGUAGCGAACGGG
rnacentral:rRNA from 1 species